UGGAUUGCCCAGAACUCCCUUUGUCCAAAAUCACCCCGGCAUGUCCAAAGUGCAGCACUCCGGCAUUUGCAAGACUGCACAUCCAAACAUUCCCUCCUGAUACACCAAUGCUGGUCAGGGAAUGUUUGGAUGUGUAGUGAUGCAAGUGCCGGAGGGUUGCAUUUGGGCCGCUGUAACCCGCUUGUGUUGUGUGGACUGUUGUAUGUACCUCUUUUUUCAGCCCCAGGGUGACACUAUCACCCAUACCUGGAAGCUUAAACUGUUCUCUUCCACCGGUCCUGCGGUGUAUCUUCCCAAGUGGCGUGGAUGUGAGGAGACACGACAUUUCACCUGAUGUUCCAUGGGUGACCCUACUGGUGAUGUGGACCUGACCCUCCGCCAUGUAGCAGACAACCCCCUCAGCCCCAGGGUGACACUAUCACCCAUACCUGGAAGCUCAAACUGUUCUCUUCCACAGGUCCUGCGGUGUAUCUUCCCAAGUGGCGUGGAUGUGAGGAGACACGACAUUUCACCUGAUGUUCCAUGGGUGACCCUACUGGUGAUGUGGACCUGACCCUCCGCCAUGUAGCAGACAACCCCCUCAGGUGAGAUGCAAUUGACCAACAAAACUCCCUUGUCCAAAAUCACCCUGGCAUGUCCAAAGUGCAGCCCUCCGGCAUUUGCAAGACUGCACAUCCAAACAUUCCCUGAAACAGCAAUGCUGGAGCGGGGAAUGUUUGGAUGUGUAGUGAUGCAAGUGCAGGAGGGUUGCAUUUGGACCCACUGUUCCCCGCUUGUGUUGUGUGGACUGUUGUAUGUACCUCUUUUUUCAGCCCCAGGGUGACACUAUUACCCACAUCUGGUAGCUCAUACUGUUCUCUUCCACAGGUCCUGCGGUGUAUCUUCCCAAGUGGCGUGGAUGUGAGGAGACACGACAUUUCACCUGAUGUUCCAUGGGUGACCCUACUGGUGAUGUGGACCUGACCCUCCGCCAUGUAGCAGACAACCCCCUCAGGUCUUCCGGUGUAUCCUUCCUAAGUGGCGUGGAUGUGAAGAGACAGUUCCCCUGAUGUUCCCUGGGCAAUCUACUUACGUACAAUUCAACUGCAUUACAAAUUUUAAUAAAAACCACAGGAAACUUCUAUUUUUAAAAGUUUAUUGAAGAAAAAUUUUUUUUAAUAAAGU